UUAAUAUAUAUAAGUACGUAUAUAUGAUUAGACUAUAUAUAGAAAAGACAUUGACAUGUAGAUAAAAGAGACAGGGAAACGACUUUCCUGUAAUCAUAGUGAAUAAUAUUGACACGAGAACAAUUAUCUCCAAUCAUUUGAACUCGUGAAUUUUCAAAGGAAAAACAACUAACAAAGUAAAUAAUAUGAGGUUAUUGAAUUUGUUAUUGCCGAUGUUGUUAUAGACGACAUAGAGAUAUAUACAUAUGUAGUUAAAUGUGAUAAAUUAUUCCAAGAAUUAAUUAUUGUCUUGGUCGUUUUACUCCCUAGUUUACUUAUUACCAAGAGAGGAUUAUCAUUUCUAAACGAUUUUAUCUCAUAGAAAUCAUAUAGAAAAUGUUUAAACGUUUUUACCUGGAAGAGAUUAAAUCAAAUAAUCGAUUGCAUCGAACAUUAUAUAUUUUUAUACAAACGAUUCAUCGAUGUAACUUUUGAACAUCUCAUAAUGAGGUUUGGUAAACUGUCGAUUAUAACAAAUCGACGAUUACGUUACUUUGUACGUUCAAAUGCAAAUGAUGUUCAAAUGCAAACGACAAUUUUUCUUUGACCUUCGAUCAUUCGAGACGAUUACGCGAAGUCAUCGUGAUCACCACUCGGAACUCGACAGGAAUGUAUCGAUCUCUAAAAGGCUUGCCACAGGUUUAUUCUUCUUCCUCUUUUGUGACGUAUCGUCGCGACUCUUGUAUUUAUUUUUCUUUUAUAUCAUCUGCAUAAUAAAACCGUUAUUUUCUUGAUGUUAUUUUCUCGAUGUGAUUUAUAAUUAAUGUUAACUGGAAAACAGUGAGCCUUUGUUUUUUUAUUUAGAUUUUUUUCGUUUUUGUUUUUCUCUUGUUUUUUGUUAAUUUUUUUUUCGGUCUUAUUUUUAUGACGUGCAAUGUAAAAUACGUUGAAAGUUUUGAACCUUGUGAGUGACUAAAUCCAGAAAUUUUCGUUUGCCUGUUGAUUGCUCUUUUAAUUAAACCUCUCCAAGCCGCUCCUUCAGCCAAGUUUGAUUGCGAAUGCUAAGUAAACAGUUAUGUCACGAAGGAGUCUCGAUCCUUUAUACCAAAUGAGUCAUUAAACGUAAAUAAAAGGUAAUUCUUUAUUUAUAUGCUAUAUACAAUGAACCGAAGCAAAUAAGUCAUUUGUAAUAUAGAAACGGAAAAUUAUUUAUAACUUCAUCAAGGCCAAUAUUUAAAGCCAUACUCACAAACGCUUCAGAAUGCAUUUAUUACUCAGCUUAAUGAGUAAGAUUGAGAAGAUUUCAUCAAUAUGCGCUUAAAUUUGUAUAUAUAAAUACACUUUAAUAACUUCUUAUAGAAAAUCGCAAUUGUUUAUAACAAUUAUUUAUAACAUUGUCAAGGCCAAUAUUGCAAUCAUUAAUAUUUCAAUUUCAUUCAAUCUCAUAAAUGCUUAAGAAAACCUUUUAUUACGUAACUUAAUGAGUAAGACUGAGAAGAUUUCAUCAAUUCGUGUUCUAAAUUGUAUAUGUAAAUACACUUUAAUAGCAUAUAUUUAAUUUCAGUUUUUUUUUUGUAGAAAAUCACAAUUGUUUAUAACAAUUUUCAUUGAUCGUUUCGUUAUUUUAAUAGACUAACGUACCAGGACUUUCUUAUUAGCGAUUAAUGAUUUAGAAGAAAGAUUUAGAAACUUCGAAACGAUAUAAUGUAACAGUGCAUUUAACGUAAAAAUCAUCGAAAAGUAUGGUUCUUUUUCGAUACAAAUACGAUUUCAUCAAUGGAUCCAAAGAAUGGUUUUCAAUACUUGGUAGAGAACAAUAAUAUCGUACAAGCACACAUUAUGUAUCUACGGUCGGCCCUGGCUCUUAAGUUGAUUGUAUGACGUCGUCAAGUGAGUAAUGCUUGCAAUUCGAGUGAUGCUUGUAAAAUAUUCGAUUCAGUGCUAUAACAGUUCUGUUGUGUUGUGAUGUUUCGAUGGUGUAAUCAAUGUUUCGUCGCGUGUACCUCUCUAAUUACAUGUAUGCAGUGGACGCAUUAUCGAAUGCAUGCGCUUAGGCGGGCUCGAGUUUAGAGUUAAGUAUUUCUCGUAUUCAAAUACUGUCUCGAAGUGACGGUGUAAAAAUUUUCCAACAAAUACUGUAUGAAUAAUUCGAUUAAUAUAUUUAGAAAUAAAAAAGACGAAUGUUCUCUGAUUUUCUUUUUCUUUUUAAUUUUCUAAAUAUUUAUUAAGGUUUAUUCGAAAGAAAAAAAAAAGAAACAAAAAUAAAAAUAAAUAUAUACAAACGCGGAAUAUUUAUCAUUUAUCGACAAACGUUCCGUUUCAUACGACGAAUUUUAUUACCGUUUUGUUUGACAACAAAAGAUAAACGAUGAAUCGGCGAAGGCGAAGCGACAUCGUCGCGUGACUCGUUGGCCCCAACACGAUAUGCGAUGCUUCUAGGUCAGACCGUUUUGUUAUUUAGUUAUAUUUAGUGGCCAUUCACUGUUUUCACUGUCUACACGUCGGAUCGUGUCGUGUCGUAACUCGUUGUCUUUUGUCCAAAGUUCUCUUUAAAAAAAAAGGUAUAGAUACGUUGCAUCGAAAUGUCAUCAUUUCCGUUGUGAUCACGAAGCGUAACAAUAAUGUGAUUUUGAAGUUGAAUAGGAAAAAUAUUCAAAUAUAUCAACGAAUAGUAAGGACUUCAUAGUCUUUGAAGGAUAAUUCUUCUCCAUCAAAAGGAAUAUAAAGGCAGCCGUGACUAGGUUGUACCUGUAUAACAAAAUUAAUCGAUUUAUCGAUAUCCAAAAAAUUCAAUAAAAUAUACAAAGUUAAUAGAUAUAAAGUUGUUAAAAACCUUGCCGACGGUUUGAGAACCUUUAUGAAGAACACGGCCAAUGUAUAGUGUCUCUCCUUCGGAUGUUUCUCCACCAACUACGGCAUCGGCAGGAAUGGAUCCGUUACUGCAAAAUUCCCAUGCGUAUUCGGCUUGACACAAUACCUAAAUCAGAAACAGUAGUAUUUAAUUAUAUACGAGACUCAUGCAACAUCAAUUAAUCUAUAUAGUUAAUAUAAUUCAGUAUACAUGUUCUCAAUAUAAAUGUAUCUUAUAAGUAUAGAUAAAAAAUAAUUAUUUAAUCCUA